UACGUAGGGGCCUAGCGUUGUCCGGAAUUAUUGGGCGUAAAGAGCUCGUAGGCGGUUCGGCAAGUCGGAUGUGAAAUCUCCACGCUUAACGUGGAGGGGCCAUUCGAAACUGCUGUGACUCGAGUCCGGUAGGGGAGUGUGGAAUUCCCGGUGUAGCGGUGAAAUGCGCAGAUAUCGGGAGAACACCAGUGGCGAAGGCGGCUUCCUGGCCUGUUCUUGACGCUGAGGCGCGAAAGCUAGGGGAGCAAACGGGAUUAAGAA
rnacentral:rRNA from 1 species